rnacentral:rRNA from 1 species
AUUCCAGCUCCAAUAGCGUAUAUUAAAGUUGUUGCAGUUAAAAAGCUCGUAGUUGAACCUUGGACAAAGUGCGCGUGGUCUACCGCAAGGUACGACUGCGGCGCUGCGUCUCUUUAGGGGGACUCGAUGCUUCGGUGUCGAGGUAACCCGUGUUACUGUGAAGAAAUUAGAGUGUUUAAAGCAGGCUAUCGCUUGAAUACAUCAGCAUGGAAUAACAAGUUGGACUUUGCUCCUACUUGUUGGUUUGAGGGGAAAAGUAAUGAUUAAUAGGGCCAGUUGGGGGCAUUAGUAUUCAGUAGUCAGAGGUGAAAUUCUUGGAUUUACUGAAGACUAACUAGUGCGAAAGCAUUUGCCAAGGAUGUUUUCAUCG